UGAAGAAUAUUGGGCAAUGGGCGAAAGCCUGACCCAGCAACGCCGCGUGAGGGAAGAAGGUUCUCGGAUUGUAAACCUCUGUCCCAUGGGAAGAAACAAAUGACGGUACCAUGGGAGGAAGCCCCGGCUAACUACGUGCCAGCAGCCGCGGUAAUACGUAGGGGGCAAGCGUUGUCCGGAAUUAUUGGGCGUAAAGGGUGCGUAGGCGGCCUUUCAAGUUGGAUGUGAAAUCCCCGUGCUUAACAUGGGAAUUGCAUUCAAAACUGGAGGGCUUGAGGGUGGAGGAGGUAAGUGGAAUUCCCAGUGUAGCGGGGAAAUUCGUAGAUAUUGGGAGGAACACCAGUGUCGAAGGCGACUUACUGGGCCACAACUGACGCUGAGGCA
rnacentral:rRNA from 1 species